rnacentral:rRNA from 1 species
UGCAAGUCGAGCGGGGGAAGGUAGCUUGCUACCGGACCUAGCGGCGGACGGGUGAGUAAUGCUUAGGAAUCUGCCUAUUAGUGGGGGACAACAUCUCGAAAGGGAUGCUAAUACCGCAUACGUCCUACGGGAGAAAGCAGGGGAUCUUCGGACCUUGCGCUAAUAGACGAGCCUAAGUCGGAUUAGCUAGUUGGUGGGGUAAAGGCCUACCAAGGCGACGAUCUGUAGCGGGUCUGAGAGGAUGAUCCGCCACACUGGGACUGAGGCACGGCCCAGACUCCUACGGGAGGCAGCAGUGGGGAAUAUUGGACAAUGGGGGGAACCCUGAUCCAGCCAUGCCGCGUGUGUGAAGAAGGCCUUAUGGUUGUAAAGCACUUUAAGCGAGGAGGAGGCUACUUUAGUUAAUACCUAGAGAUAGUGGACGUUACUCGCAGAAUAAGCACCGGCUAACUCUGUGCCAGCAGCCGCGGUAAUACAGAGGGUGCGAGCGUUAAUCGGAUUUACUGGGCGUAAAGCGUGCGUAGGCGGCUUAUUAAGUCGGAUGUGAAAUCCCCGAGCUUAACUUGGGAAUUGCAUUCGAUACUGGUGAGCUAGAGUAUGGGAGAGGAUGGUAGAAUUCCAGGUGUAGCGGUGAAAUGCGUAGAGAUCUGGAGGAAUACCGAUGGCGAAGGCAGCCAUCUGGCCUAAUACUGACGCUGAGGUACGAAAGCAUGGGGAGCAAACAGGAUUAGAUACCCUGGUAGUCCACGCCCUAAACGAUGUCUACUAGUUGUCGGGUUUAAUUAACUUGGUAACGCAGCUAACGCGUGAAGUAGACCGCCUGGGAGUACGUCGCAGAUAAAACUCAAGAAUGACGGGGACCCGCACAGCGUGAUGAUGUGAUUAAUCGAUGCACGCGAAACU